AGAUAAAACAGCGUUUCUAAAUUUUAUGAGGGAAUGGGAUGGGCAACAUAGAUAUACUGUUUUUUCUUCUAGAUCUGAAUAAAUACAGGAUAAACACCCAGCCUGUAUCCGAGAGCAACAUUCUGCCUCCAGGAGAAACAAGAGUAAAUAUGGGUGUGGAUAACAAGAUUUUUCAGGAAAAUCUUGCUCAGACCAGUCUGUUCACUAGCUGUGAGGUGAAGUUGCUGGUUAUCUUUUGGAUGUGUUUGAUUAAUCUUACGAAGAAAUGAGAACUGGCAAUGAGGAGGUGGGAGAUUGGAUAUGAAGAUGUCAGGUAAGAGUAAAAUCCACAGGAACUGCAUGAUCGUAUUGGAGUGGUUGGGCUCUCGUUUCUGUUUGGCUCUUCCAGUCAUGCAGUGAGGAGGACAGAAAUGGAAACACAGAUUUUUUUAACGAUGACCUUCAUUUCCUGGGCCAAGAUCUGAUCCUCUAGAUUCCUACUUCUUUUAAAAGUCAUCGUCAAUGUCUGCACAGCAUGUGUCACCAUGCAGGCUCUCUUGGAGCUCAGAUGUGGUUUCUACAGGAAGUCCCACAGAAGCCGCAGUAAUGCACAUUUUCUUGAAAUGGGAAAAGAUCUUCUUGUGCACUUAUCUCUCCUUUCUUAGUUCCUACCACAGGUAAAUCAAUCUGAAGUCUUUUGCUCGUUCUUGGAGGUAUCUACGCUACGGAUUAAGUUCAGCCGUAUCCUACCAUGUCUACUUGACAAUAAGAAAAGCAGGUGUCUUGGGGUGCUGGCUUCUUUACCGAUUCCCCUCUCUUGGCUUCACCAGUUUUCUCCUCUGGUCUUUCUGUUCCCUUAAAAAUAUUAAACAGUGAGCAGGGCUGGUGCCUGACCAAUCCUCAUGAGAGACAAUCGUUAGUUCUGGUUUAGUGAGGGGAAAAGGCAGUUUGGUUCAGCACAAACAUUACUGAUGAUUCCCUCAGGUUCUUCCUUUUCUAAUUGUGGGAAAAGGAAACACCCAGCUCCUCCCCCACAGAAGAGGAGAGAGGCUCUUUUCAUGAACUUUGCACUCCCUCCAAAUUUACUUCCAUCUCCCAUUCCUUCAUUUGAAUUUGCCAGGAGACAAUGAUUAUGAUGAUGGGGCUAGCGGUGAUGGUGACUGUGCAGUGGGAAGAUUAGCUCUGGAACUUCUCUUUGAGCCUUAAAAGGAGGUAGCGAGUUCUAAUUACAAGCAGCUUUCUAAACUUGGAACAUAUGGAUACAUAGCACUUUUUAUUUUCAGCUUCGGUUUUUAGAUAAAUUAAUGGACUGAAAAAAAUAUUCCAGAAGAUACCUCAUUGCAUAUACAAUUAUUUCUUUCUCAAACCAACCCUACCAAAAUGUGCGUUUCUUCAAAGCCGUAAUUUCCAAAGAUUGUCAGAGAAAUAAG
rnacentral:lncRNA from 10 species